GGGCAGUUUCCAGAGCGGCCAAAUGGGGCAGACUGUAAAUCUGCUGGUUUUUACCUUCGGUGGUUCGAAUCCAUCACUGCCCA
rnacentral:tRNA from 1 species